rnacentral:rRNA from 1 species
CAGUAGGAUAGGCGAAGCGUGCUGUUGGAGUGCACGUCCAAGCAGUGAGAUUGAGUGUUAGGCAAAUCCGGCACUCUUAAGAUUGAGCUGUGAUGGGGAGAGGAACUUGUUCCUCGAGUCGUUGAUUUCACACUGCCGAGAAAAGCCUCUAGCUAGAAUAACGGUGCCCGUACCGCAAACCGACACAGGUAGUCAAGAUGAGAAUUCUAAGGUGAGCGAGCGAACUCUCGUUAAGGAACUCGGCAAAAUGACCCCGUAACUUCGGGAGAAGGGGUGCUCUUUGAGGUUCACGCUUCGAAGAGCCGCAGUGAAUAGGCCCAAGCGACUGUUUAUCAAAAACACAGGUCUCUGCUAAACCGUAAGGUGACGUAUAGGGGCUGACGCCUGCCCGGUGCUGGAAGGUUAAGAGGAGUGGUUAGCGCAAGCGAAGCUACGAAUCGAAGCCCCAGUAAACGGCGGCCGUAACUAUAACGGUCCUAAGGUAGCGAAAUUCCUUGUCGGGUAAGUUCCGACCCGCACGAAAGGCGUAACGAUUUGGGCACUGUCUCAACGAGAGACUCGGUGAAAUCAUAGUACCGGUGAAGAUGCCGGUUACCCGCGACAGGACGGAAAGACCCCGUGGAGCUUUACUGUAGCCUGAUAUUGAAAUUCGGUACAGUUUGUACAGGAUAGGUAGGAGCCUUAGAAGCGUGAGCGCUAGCUUACGUGGAGGCAUUGGUGGGAUACUACCCUAAUUGUAUUGGAUUUCUAACCCGCAGCACUUAUCGUGCUGGGAGACAGUGUCAGGCGGGCAGUUUGACUGGGGCGGUCGCCUCCUAAAGAGUAACGGAGGCGCUCAAAGGUUCCCUCAGAAUGGUUGGAAAUCAUUCAUAGAGUGUAAAGGCAUAAGGGAGCUUGACUGCGAGACCUACAAGUCGAGCAGGGUCGAAAGACGGACUUAGUGAUCCGGUGGUUCCGCAUGGAAGGGCCAUCGCUCAACGGAUAAAAGCUACCCCGGGGAUAACAGGCUUAUCUCCCCCAAGAGUUCACAUCGACGGGGAGGUUUGGCACCUCGAUGUCGGCUCAUCGCAUCCUGGGGCUGUAGUCGGUCCCAAGGGUUGGGCUGUUCGCCCAUUAAAGCGGUACGCGAGCUGGGUUCAGAACGUCGUGAGACAGUUCGGUCCCUAUCCGUCGUGGGCGUAGGAAAUUUGAGAGGAGCUGUCCUUAGUACGAGAGGACCGGGAUGGACAUACCUCUGGUGUACCAGUUGUCGUGCCAACGGCAUAGCUGGGUAGCUAUGUAUGGACGGGAUAAGUGCUGAAAGCAUCUAAGCAUGAAGCCCCCCUCGAGAUGAGAUUUCCCAACUUCGGUUAUAAGAUCCCUCAAAGAUGAUGAGGUGAAU